rnacentral:rRNA from 1 species
GCGCGAAAACUUUACGAUGCUGGCAACAGCGAUAAGGGAACCUCGAGUGCCAGGUUACAAAUCUGGCUGUCGAGAUGCCUAAAAAGCAUUUCAUAGCAAGGGCCGGGCAAGACCGGUGCCAGCCGCCGCGGUAACACCGGCGGCUCGAGUGGUAACCGUUAUUAUUGGGUCUAAAGGGUCUGUAGCCGGCCGGAUAAGUCUCUUGAGAAAUCUGGCAGCUUAACUGUCAGGCUUUCAGGAGAUACUGUCUGGCUCGAGGCCGGGAGAGGUGAGAGGUACUUCAGGGGUAGGGGUGAAGUCUUGUAAUCCUUGAAGGACCACCAGUGGCGAAGGCGUCUCACCAGAACGGACCUGACGGCAAUGGACGAAAGCUAGGGGCACGAACCG